UACGUAGGGUGCGAGCGUUAAUCGGAAUUACUGGGCGUAAAGCGUGCGCAGGCGGUUUUGUAAGCCCGAUGUGAAAUCCCCGGGCUUAACCUGGGAAUGGCAUUUGGGACUGCAAGGCUGGAGUGUGGCAGAGGAGACUGGAAUUCCUGGUGUAGCAGUGAAAUGCGUAGAUAUCAGGAGGAAUACCGAUGGCGAAGGCAGGUCUCUGGGCUAACACUGACGCUCAUGCACGAAAGCGUGGGGAGCAAACAGG
rnacentral:rRNA from 1 species